CGGAAGUAAAAGUCGUAACAAGGUUUCCGUAGGUGAACCUGCGGAAGGAUCAUUAAUAAAUUUUUUUUUGAAAUAAAAAAAAAUAAUAAUCAUCCUACCCUUUGUGAAUUUGUUUUGUUGAAUAAUUUUUUAAAAUUAUUUAUUGUCUAUCCAAGUUGGAAAGUUGUAAAAGACUCGAGACUUGGAGCGGCAUAAAUAAAUUUAAAGACUUUUUUCUAAAUUAAACUUUUUGUAUUCAUUUGUCUAAAAUAAUUUUAUAAUAUAUAAAAACAACUUUUGACAAUGGAUCUCUUGGUUCUCGCAACGAUGAAGAACGCAGCAAAAUGCGAUAAGUAAUGUGAAUUGCAGAAUACGUGAAUCAUCGAAUCUUCGAACGCAUAUUGCACUUUUUAGUUUACUAAAAAAGUAUGUCUGUUUGAGUAUCAGUAAAAUAUUCUCAUAAAAUUUUUUAAUUUUAUGGUUAUGAGUGUUUUACAACGAUAAACAAGUUGUUUCACUUUAAAUUGAAUUUUUUGAAGAAAUCUUUAAUUCAAAUUAAAUUUGGAUAAAAUUUUCCCGUAAAAAGGAAUAACUAUACAAGUUUAAUAAGAAUUUAGUGAUUUCUUUUAUGAAAAGGAAAUUUAUUAAAUAACUUGAUCUCAAAUCAGAUAAGAGUACCCGCUGAACUUAAGCAUAUCAAUAAGCGGAGGAAAAGAAACUAACAAGGAUUCCCUAGUAACGGCGAGUGAAGCGGGAAGAGCUCAAAUUUGAAAUCUUAAAGGGUUUCCCUUACGAAUUGUAGUUUAAAGAAGUGUUUUCUGUUGAGGUUUUGGUAAAAGUUCUUUGGAAUAGGACAUCAUAGAGGGUGAGAAUCCCGUAUUUGACCUUUACUUUCAACUUUGUGAUACACUUUCAAAGAGUCGGAUUGUUUGGGAAUGCAGUCCAAAAUGGGUGGUAAAUUUCAUCUAAAGCUAAUAUUGGCGAGAGACCGAUAGCGAACAAGUACCGUGAGGGAAAGAUGAAAAGAACUUUGAAAAGAGAGUUAAACAGUACGUGAAAUUGUCUAAAGGGAAGCGUUUGACACCAGUGUUGUUUUUCUGAAAAUCAAUUAAAGAACUGUUUAUGCUAAGUUGUUAGACUUUAUCAGCUACUGUUUAGUUUUGAGCUUUUCUUUAAUGCACUUUUCAGUUAACAAGUCAACAUCAAUUUCUUUUGCUGUAAAAAAGCUUGAGGAAGGUGGCUUGAGAUUCGUCUUAAGUGUUUAUAGCCUCUUGCCUAUGCAGUCGGAGAGAUUGAGGUCUGCAGCGUAGAUCCUUCGGGCUAAAUGCAUUUGUGCUAAGUUAUAGCAUUUUAUAGACAACUUGUUGACUAUGAUUUGUCUUGUAGCUUACUCGCUUAUGUUAUUUUACCACGCUUAGGAUGUUGAC
rnacentral:misc_RNA from 1 species